AUGCUUAACUUUUGCCGGUUGCACGUGGCGGGCGUCUCCUCCGUUUUGUGGCUGGCUUUUCACUUUCUCCAAGGUGCCUCCACUUCUCUCUUCCCUCUCACAUCUGUGCCAGGGGCGCCCAUGGGCGUCGCUCGUGCGCGCGGGGGGGGGGGGGGGCUCGGGUCCCUCGGCCCCGGGUGCAGACCGCCCCGCCGCCCCUCCUGCGCCCGGGGCUCCUGGGGCCCCCGCUCCUCCGCUCCUCUCCCCUCGCCGCCUCCCUCCCAGCUCCGGCAGGGGCGGCCCGCUUCGGGGAGCCCCGCGAGGCCCGGGGCGGCGGCCCGGAGGCGGGAGGCGGCCUCGGCGCGGGAGCCCCCGCCCCCCCGAGUCAUCGAUCACUUCCGGCGCCUCACCUGGGGGCCCGGCCCCUCUCCGCUCGGCCGGCCGCGCGGCGCUCCCCGGGGGCGGGGCGGGGCUCCGCAGGCGGGGGCCGGGGGCCGGGGGCCGGGGGGCUGGGCGGGGGCGGAAGCUGCGCGAGCAGAUAAGCGCCGAGGUCGGCGCUGCGGUGAGACAGUGCGGGACGCCGCCCCCCGCCCCCGGCCCCGGCCCCGGCCCCGGCCCCGCAGCCCCGGUUCCCCGCGCCCCCCAGCCCGGGCUCGGCAUCCUGGGCGGGGACCCCGGGGCGCGGGGGCGGCGGGCCGUGGGGCGGGGGGCUCGGCCCGCGCCUUCAGCUCCCAGCCUCAUUUAUCUCAGCUGGAAAGUGGGGGCAGGAGGAGAUCCACUUACUCCGCGGGGCUUGGAGACGGACCGGGCGCCAGUGCCGAAAGCCCCCUGCGGCCGAGGCCUCCGUCAAGGAGGAGUACCCCGGGGCCUUCUCCCCGCCCCCGCUGCCCCCCCCCCCCCCCCCCGCUGGGCCCGCCCGCCGCUGGGCGUCCGCCUCCUGCCUCCACGGGGAAGCGGGUCUCGCCUCAGGUCCCAGGACCAGGGAGCGCGCUGCAAGUGGAGCCGAGGAUGGACGGCGACCCCUGCCCCCAGCCUGGGGCCGGAGCUAGGUUUCCUAGAGCCUGA
rnacentral:lncRNA from 1 species